CACCAGACUCCUACGGGAGGCAGCAGUGGGGAAUAUUGCACAAUGGGGGAAACCCUGAUGCAGCGACGCCGCGUGAUUGAUGAAGCCCUUCGGGGUGUAAAGAUCUGUCAGUGGGGACGAAACUUGACGGUACCCACAGGGGAAGCAUCGGCUAACUCCGUGCCAGCAGCCGCGGUAAUACGUAGGGGGCGAGCGCUAUCCGGAAUUACUGGGUGUAAAGGGAGCGUAGACGGCGAGGUAAGCCUGAAGUGGAAGCCCGCGGCCCAACCGCGGAACUGCUUUGGGAACUGUUUUGCUGGAGUAUGGGAGGGGUAAGCGGAAUUCCUGGUGUAGCGGUGAAAUGCGUAGAUAUCAGGAGGAACACCGGUGGCGAAGGCGGCUUACUGGACCAUAACUGACGUUGAGGCUCGAAAGCGUGGGGAGCGAACAGGAUUAGAUACCCCAGUAAA
rnacentral:rRNA from 1 species